GCCCAUGGGCCAUCAAGCCCACUGCUCCAUCAAGCUGACUGAGCGAGAAACUAGUGAAGAGGGAGAGAGUUCUAAAGAGUGAAGCUUUCGGACACGGCGAGCUUGCUUCUUCUUCUUCUUCUUGGGAAGGAAACUGUAAACUCUUCGGAUUUGGUUUCUCUGCGGAAACCUAGAGAGAGGGAUAGUGAGAGGGAAUGGGAGGGUCUUCACUGUCGGGUUUGCAGGAACACCUGAAAUUGGCGAGGGAGUACGCUCUGGAAGGAGUCUAUGACACCUCCAUUAUCUUCUUCGACGGCGCCAUUGCUCAGAUCAACAAGCACCUAAACACUCUUGAUGACCCUUUAAUUCGUGCAAAAUGGAUGAAUGUCAAAAAAGCCCUUUCCGAGGAAACGGAAGUUGUAAAGCAAUUAGAUGCAGAGAGGAAGGCAUUCAAGGAAAGUCCCGCGGGCCGACGCACUUCUUCACCGCCAAUAAAUGCUAAAUCCUCAUUUGUUUUUCAACCGUUGGAUGAGUACCCAACUUCCUCAGGCGGUGCUAUGGAUGAUCCUGAUGUAUGGCAGCCACCUAAUCGGGAUCCUACGAGUAGAAGACCAGCAAGGGCUGGUCAAGUGGGCAUGAGGAAGUCGCCACAAGAUGGGACUUGGGCUCGCGGUUCUACUAAAACUAAUACAACUGGCCGAGCUCCAAAGGCUGGUGGUUCAAGCAGGGUAAAUUCAGGUGUUCGAGCAUCAACUACUGGAAAGAAAGGCCCUGGUUCUGGCAAAUCUAGUAAGGGAGAUGCGGCGAAUGGUGAUGCUGAAGAUGGAAAGUCAAAGAAGGGACAAUAUGAGGGGCCUGAUCCCGACUUGGCUGCAAUGCUUGAAAGGGACGUGUUGGAAACCAGUCCCGGAGUAAGAUGGGAUGAUGUUGCUGGGCUUAGUGAAGCAAAAAGACUACUAGAAGAAGCUGUUGUGCUUCCUCUAUGGAUGCCUGAGUAUUUCCAGGGAAUUAGAAGACCCUGGAAAGGUGUCCUCAUGUUUGGUCCUCCUGGAACUGGGAAGACACUACUAGCUAAGGCGGUGGCUACAGAGUGUGGCACCACAUUUUUCAAUGUUUCCUCAGCUACUUUAGCUUCUAAGUGGCGUGGGGAGAGUGAGCGCAUGGUGCGGUGCUUGUUUGAUCUUGCUAGAGCAUAUGCGCCGAGUACUAUUUUUAUUGAUGAGAUUGAUUCUCUCUGCAAUGCUCGAGGGGCAUCAGGGGAGCAUGAAUCAUCCAGAAGAGUAAAAUCUGAACUCCUAGUUCAGGUGGAUGGCGUCAACAAUAGUUCCACGGGUGAAGAUGGUGCCCGAAAAAUAGUGAUGGUUUUGGCAGCUACUAACUUUCCAUGGGACAUAGAUGAGGCGUUGAGGAGGCGGCUGGAAAAGCGUAUUUACAUUCCUCUUCCAAAUUUUGAGAGCCGGAAGGAACUUAUUCGGAUUAAUUUGAAAACUGUAGAGGUCGCUCCUGAUGUAAAUAUUGAUGAAGUGGCUCACCGAACAGACGGUUACAGUGGAGAUGAUCUAACAAACGUUUGUCGGGAUGCUUCCUUGAAUGGCAUGAGGCGAAAAAUAGCUGGAAAAACACGUGAUGAGAUUAAGAACAUGCCGAAGGACGAGAUUUCAAAUGACCCUGUUGCCAUGUGUGACUUUGAAGAGGCCUUAGGGAAGGUCCAACGAAGUGUUUCUGCAGCUGACAUAGAAAAGCAUGAGAAAUGGUUUACAGAAUUUGGGUCAGCAUAAACAGGAUCAUGCCAUACUGAAGGAUCUUGUGAAGCACCAAAUUGCAGAUUGCUUGAGGAGUCUCCACGCACUAACAACGAUAAUGUUGGCAGUGAUCUCUGUCACUUUGGAUUAAAGCGGGUGGGAGCACAGGAGAGUUCUAUACAAAAUCUUUUCUUGUCUCUCUGGAAGAUGUUUUGGAAUUGCACCUACCUUCUCCACCCAAGUUAGAAAAAUGAUACAAAAUAACCAGCAUCAAGUGUACUCAAGAUCGAGGAACUUCAGAAAUUUGCAGUUCUCGUGCUUUUCACGGAUUCCACAGUGAGACUGGUAUUUUUUAACUCAAAAGGACAUGUACUUUUAGGUUCACAGUUCAUACUGUCAUGCCUGAUAAACUAGGUUGGAGUUUUGCAUGCUUCCUAUAUUCAAACUGACAAUGAAAAGAUAGUAAAACUGAGAGCACAAGUACAGCUAGGGAAUAGUAACAGAUUGAAUGAUGUACAUUUUGUUGUUAUCUUGGGACGAGUUUUCAAGUAU